AAGAUAAGUAAAAUAAUUCAAUAAACUUCUUCAAUAACCAUAAAUCAAAUCAUAGAACAAGAAUAAUCAUCUAGGGUUACUCAUAGUGUUAAUUAGAGAUAGUAAAGAGUUAAGAAUUACACAUAAAAUGGUGGUUGAAUGUGUACAAAGCCAGCACCAAAGAAUUGCUCUUCCGGUGCGAAACCUCGUUUCUCCGUUCUCUCUCGCGUGCGUGCUGCCUUUCUCUUCUGUCUGUGCGUGAAUCCCCUCAUGUGCGUGACUUCUUCUUCUGUUUUUAUAAUGCCUUCAGUUCACGUUUGUUGGGCCACCAAAUAAGGCCUGCUUAUUUGUUGUGAUGUUCCCCUGCCUAUAUAUUCUCCUCACAUNNNNNNNNNNNNNNNNNNNNNNNNNNNNNNNNAGGCAUAGGCCACCAAAAGGCCAAUGAAAUUUUCUUCUUCUCAUGGUCCAUAUAGUUGCACCCUUCCACUAUUAAGGCAAUAUGUCAAUAAUUUCCAAGCAACUUUAGCGGUAGUUUUCCGCUAACCGAUGACCUAUUUAACUGAACCAAUCACAUAAGACAAAAACUAGAUGAAAUGGCUGAUUAGUAAAGAAAUUAGAAGCAUAAAAACUCAAUUGACUUAUGAACUUAAAAUUCACAAUUUAUUCAAAUUGAAACUAAAAUAAAAAAUAAACUAAUAAAAAUAAACUAAAACUUAAUUAAAAAGAUUCUAAAAACUACAUUUGACGAGAGAUCAUCAUAAUGGUUAAAUAAAUUUAAAUUGUAUGUAAUGUAAUUUAGUGGUUUGUUCUAAUUUAGUGAGUAUAAAAUUCAUGCCAAAAUUUUUAAAGUAUUUAAUGGAAAUUUAUCAAUUUACUCAUUUAUAUAUGGUUUAUAUAAAAUAGCUGAGACUAAUAAAACCUAACACAUAAUAUCUACACACUUUGAUGUCUAUCUUUUUAGGUUCUAUUGCAAAAAGAUUUUAUGGCAGUACCUAGCUUUCACCUUGUUUCAUAGAAUGGACUUAUUGAAGAAAGUAUACUAUUUAUAGACCCCAAUUGGACUUAGUUCACCUUGACUACAAAGUAUACUAUUAUACUAUUAUUAGCUAAAUGAACAAUAAAGCAUACAACUUGUUAAUUAGUAGUUGUUUAUAGAGCAUCCGUUUAAUUUAACAUUUUUUUGGUUAUAUUAUACAUUUAAUCCUUUAAGUUUAUUUUAGGUUUCAUUUUAGUCAACUUCUAAUCUCAUUAUUAGAAAGACACUCAUCAAUUUUCAGACCAUCAUAGAGACAUCAACCCGACCUAUAGAAACACCACUAGACACUAACUUGCGAUCUCGAAUAAAAAAUUAUCAGCCCAUCAUAAUCCAAAAAGUAGCUCUAU
rnacentral:lncRNA from 1 species